CCACCGAAGCUGGAUUCGCUAGUAAUCGCGCAUCAGCCAUGGCGCGGUGAAUACGUUCCCGGGCCUUGUACACACCGCCCGUCAAGCCAUGGAAGCCGGGGGCGCCUGAAGUCCGUGACCGCGAGGGUCGGCCUAGGGUGAAACCGGUGAUUGGGGCUAAGUCGUAACAAGGUAGC
rnacentral:rRNA from 1 species